AGAGAGAAACAAACAGAAUGAAAUUUGGCCUUUCCAGCUGUACGAAGCCUUUCCAGCAGCAAGAGGACGAUGCCGGACACCACCCGGUUAACUUAGAAAAGAGCUAUUUUGCUAGAGUGCGUGGAUCUAGAAGAUUUGGCCCAUUUUAUUUUGCUAAUAAUGCUACUCAAAGGAUGAACAACAUGACAGCUACACUCAAAUGCUGCACAGGGUUACACGAACGUAAGUCGACACAGAGAAAGGCAGCUGGUAUUUUCAAGAGUUUCUUGAAGAGAAACAAUGCAGAAUUCAGAAAACCUGUGAAGAGGAGGUCUUGAGAACUGAAAGAGCUUUACAACAGCAUCAGAUGAAAAGAUCAAGAUAAUUGAAAAUGUGAGGCAAAGGCAUAUACUUGGUUCUUCGGAAGCAAGAAACAAAAACCAUUUGAGUGUUCAUUAGGUCAAGUCUUCAGUGCUUGACGUGUUGCUUUGACGCAGGCUUGGUUAAGGCUUGACAGAUGGAGGAAAUGUGAAGAUAACUUAAAGA